rnacentral:lncRNA from 1 species
CCAUGCCCUUGAGUCCUUGUUGCAGAUGGAACAUAAGAAGACAUCACUUUAGUUGGAGGGACCUCUUGAAGUGUUACUCCAGAAGAUCGAGUCAAAGAGUUUCCCCGGUCCAUUUCACUGGAUGGUGAUGAAUGAUCAUCACCAAUCAAGUAAUUAUCGGGGUUAUUACUGAAAGAUUCUAGUCGAGAAGCAUCCAAUUUCAUUAUUUGCCUAACCAUUGCUUUUGCUGCUUCAUUUAUCAGGGGUUGAUAUUUAACAAUUUGCCCAUCAGAAGUAGCCGUAUGUUCCAUUUCACCAAUACCUUCCUGCUUCAGUCGACGUUUUUUGUUUGCCUCUGUUAUGCGUCUAUUACUCUCAUUUUGCUGUUGUACAAAUUGAGCUAAGAAACC